CCCGCUUUGGCGGAAAUUGCAACAGAUGGCGCUAGUGUGCAGGAGUUUUUCACUUUUAAAAUGUAUGGAGAAAGUUGCAAAAAAUGAUAUUUUGACUUAAUAAACGUUUUAUCAGAAAAAAUAUUUGGUACAGGUUGUAGCUAAUAAUGAUAGCUAACUGCGUUACCAAAUAUUUUUUGCCAAAAUGUCGAAAUAUUUGAAAAAAAUGAAAAAAUGUUCAAAUGUCCAUACAUUUUUUCGAUUGAAAACUUCUGCCUCGAAUCUGAUUGAUCUUCUUUUGCCUAUACAUGGACAUCAUGAAUAUACAUGGAUUCAUGGUUAUCAAUCUGUCAAAUGUAAACAAAACAAAGUUUCUCCCAAAACAAACAUGGAUCGGCAGCAAACGGAAAGGAGUGUGAAAAGUGUUAAACGGUGCGUUCCGGAACACCAUGUCUUCACCAGGCCACGUAAUCAUCGUUGAAUGCGGGAAAAUGUUCGCGCUGACGGUGGCGAUGCUUGGUGGCGUGGAUGACGUUGUUCUCGCAAGCGCUACAAUCUCAGAAAUACGAAACGGACGAUCUUCUGAAGAAAUGCCAGAAGGUCAGCACUAUCAAUGCUAACGUCUGGUCGAACCGGAAGUGUUCCUGGGUCCGUUUAUCGAAACCACCCGCCCGGUGUUCAAGAACACCCUAUCUGCAACUCAUUCGAUCUACAGUUAGUACACCCCCUGCCGAUGGAUGCGCUUCCCGUGAGUGGUGUCAAGUCAAGACGGGCGAGAAGUCGAACUGUAUCAUUGUCGAUUGGAUUGUACAAGGAUUGGGUUAGCUAGAGCCGGAACAGAACGGUAGAAACCAACAACAAAACUAAGGUAGUGAUUAGGUAAGAAAGAAGGGCGGGUGCUAGCAUGUGCGUACCUGGCCCCCAGCUUCAAUGUCGGGCUCCUAAGGAGCCGCUCCUUCCUUCACUAAAAUUGUGCUCGCUGGCGUAGUGCAUGCCAGGCGUACACGACAUUGGAGUAGGGAGGAGCAAGCUACGCGCAUGGGUGAAAAAUUUUUGAGUACACUAAUCAGCUAUGAUGAGGUUUAUUGCUAGUAAUGGACCCUUUUGCCUAUAGUGCUUUCUGCAGGAUAACCAAAACAUAAAUGCUCAAAUGUUUUCUACUGAUUCCAGGCAACUUUCACCGGGGGAACAUCAAUUACAUUGCUACACAACAGCUGUUGACAAACGAAUUUCCCAGUGGUCACAUAAAUGGGCUAUUUUGUCUUUUUUUUAGUUCAAAAUUCAAAUUUUGUUAAUGUAAACACUCAAAAGGGUUUUACUAGUGCAUUUGGGAGGGUUCACUGGCAACGUCGACAGCAUGGAGGGGGGAUUCCUUCAAGAAUUCAUCCGGAGCUUUCUACAGGAAUUGCUCCUGGAGCAUUCCUCCAGGAGUUUUUUUUUUCAGGAGUUCUUUAAGAGAUUCUCCAGCAGUUCCGUCAGGAAUAGUUUCAGGGAUACAUGCUGGAUUUCCUUCAAGAACGCAUUAGGGAGUUCCUUUAGGGAUUCUUCUAAGAGUUUCUUAAGUGAUUCCUUCAAAGUUUUUUAAGAAAUUUCCUAAGGCGUUUCUUAAGGGAUUCCUCCAGGAACUUAUGUAGGUUUCCUACAGGAGUUCUUUCAGGUACACCUACAGGAAUUCCUUUCGGGAUACUUUUAAGAGUUUCUUCGGCGAUUCCUCUAGGAGUUUUUUUUAGGGUUUCCUCCAAGAGCUCCUUCCGGAAUAUCUCCAGGUGAUACAGAGAUUUCUCCAAUAGUUCCUUCAGGGGUCCUUCAGCUUUACUUCAGGAGUUCUGUCAAGGAUUUCUUUGUGAUUUUCCUCAGAGAUUCCUUCAGCAUCCUUCAGCAUUUCUUCAGAGUUUCUACAGAAGUUUUUUCAGGGAUACUUGCUGGGCUUCCUUCAAGGAUACUUCUAGCAUUGCCUUCACGGAUUUCUC